rnacentral:rRNA from 1 species
AGCAGCCGCGGUAAUUCCAGCUCCAAUAGCGUAUAUUAAAGUUGUUGCAGUUAAAAAGCUCGUAGUUGAAUUUCGGGAUUAAUUUACUGGUCGUGCUAUUGUACGUACUGGUUUUAUUGAUUCCUCCCUUCUGACGAACUAUGAUGCCAUUAAUUUGGUGUCUUAGGGAAUCAGGACUGUUACUUUGAAAAAAUUAGAGUGUUUAAAGCAGGCUCACGCUUGAAUACAUUAGCAUGGAAUAACGGAAUAGGACGUUUGAUUCUAUUUUGUUGGUUUCUAGGAUCGACGUAAUGAUUAAUAGGGAUAGUUGGGGGCAUUAGUAUUCAAUUGUCAGAGGUGAAAUUCUUGGAUUUAUUGAAGACUAACUACUGCGAAAGCAUUUGCCAAGGAUGUUUUCAUUAAUCAAGAACGAAAGUUAGGGGAUCGAAGACGAUCAGAUACCGUCGUAGUCUUAACCAUAAACUAUGCCGACUAGGGAUCGGAUGAUGUUAAUUUUUAAUGACUCAUUCGGCGCCUUACG